rnacentral:rRNA from 1 species
UACGUAGGGUCCGAGCGUUGUCCGGAAUUACUGGGCGUAAAGAGCUCGUAGGUGGUUUGUCGCGUUGUUCGUGAAAACUCACAGCUUAACUGUGGGCGUGCGGGCGAUACGGGCAGACUAGAGUACUGCAGGGGAGACUGGAAUUCCUGGUGUAGCGGUGGAAUGCGCAGAUAUCAGGAGGAACACCGGUGGCGAAGGCGGGUCUCUGGACCAGUUCUGACACUGAUGAGCGAAAGCCAGGGGAGCAAACAGG